GACAGAGGGUGCAACCGUUGUUCGGAUUUACUGGGCGUAAAGCGCGUGUAGGCGGCUUUGCAAGUCGGAUGUGAAAUCCCACGGCUCAACCGUGGAAGUGCAUCCGAAACUGCAUCGCUCGAGUCUCGGAGAGGAAGGUGGAAUGCUUGGUGUAGAGGUGAAAUUCGUAGAUAUCAAGCAGAACACCUGCGGCGAAGGCGGCCUUCUGGACGAUGACUGACGCUGAGACGCGAAAGCGUGGGGAGCAAACAGG
rnacentral:rRNA from 1 species